rnacentral:rRNA from 1 species
CCUACGGGCGUCAGCAGUGGGGAAUAGUGGACAAUGGGGGAAACCCUUAUCCAGCGACGCCGCGUGAGGGAAGAAGGUUUUCGGAGUGUAAACCUCUGUCAGUGGGGACGAGAAUGACGGUACACACGGAGGAAGCCACGGCUAACUACGUGCCAGCAGCCGCGGUAAUACGUAGGUGGCAAGCGUUGUCCGGAAUUACUGGGUGAAAAGGGAGCGUAGGCGGGAUGGCAAGUCAGAAGUGAAAAUUCUGGGCUCAACUCAUAACCUGCUUUUGAAACUGAUAUUCUUGAGUGAAGUAGAGGCAAGCGGAAUUCCUCUUGUAGCGGUGAAAUGCGUUGAUCUUAGGCGGAACACCAGUGGCGAAGGCGGCUUGCUGGGCUUUUACUGCCGCUGCAGCACGAAAGCGUGGGUCUCGAACAGGAUUAGAUACCCCAGUAGUC